rnacentral:misc_RNA from 1 species
AGCAGCCGCGGUAAUUCCAGCUCCAAUAGCGUAUAUUAAAGCUGUUGCAGUUAAAAAGCUCGUAGUUGAAUUUCGGGGUUAGUAGGUUGGUCAUGCCUCUGGUAUGUACUGGUCUCACUGAUUCCUCCUUCCUGAUGAGCCGUAAUGCCAUUAAUUUGGUGUUGCGGGGAAUUUGGACUGUUACUUUGAAAAAAUUAGAGUGUUUAAAGCAAGCUAACGCUUGAAUACAUUAGCAUGGAAUAAUGAAAUAGGACGUUCGAUCCUAUUUUGUUGGUUUCUAGGAUUGACGUAAUGAUUAAUAGGGAUAGUUGGGGGCAUUAGUAUUCAAUUGUCAGAGGUGAAAUUCUUGGAUUUAUUGAAGACUAACUACUGCGAAAGCAUUUGCCAAGGAUGUUUUCAUUAAUCAAGAACGAAAGUUAGGGGAUCGAAGACGAUCAGAUACCGUCGUAGUCUUAACCAUAAACUAUGCCGACUAGGGAUCGGAUGAUGUUAAUUUUUUAAUGACUCAUUCGGCGCCUUA